UCCGGUUUAUCACCGGCAGUCUCCACAGAGUCCUCGGCUUUACCCGUUAGUAACUGUGAACAAGGGUUGCGCUCGUUGCGGGACUUAACCCAACAUCUCACGGCACGAGCUGACGACAGCCAUGCAGCAUCUGUGCACGCUCCCUUGCGGGUCCCUCACCUUUCGGUUCGGUACCACGUGCAUGUCAAGCCUAGGUAAGGUUCUGCGCGUUGCAUCGAAUUAAACCACACGCUCCGCUGCUUGUGCGGGCCCCCGUCAAUUCCUUUGAGUUUUAGCCUUGCGGCCGUAGUCCCCAGGCGGAGUACUUAAUGCGUUAGCUGCGCCACCGACGAGCAAGCUCGCCAACGGCUGGCAUUCAUCGUUUACGACGUGGACUAC
rnacentral:misc_RNA from 1 species